AACUCUUGAGUGAAAGAGAUCAAAAUAAAAGUCAAUAUAAGAUGUAAACACCCACAAAUUCAUCACAAAAUAGGGCUAAACAACCCCCCCACACUUAAUUCCUUGCUUGUCCUCAAGCAACAAUCACAACAUCAAAUGGAAAUCCACAAGCGAUUCUACUCACCAAGCAAAACACCAACAAAUCCAAGUCUUUCUAGAUAUCUAUGUUCCCAAUCAAGUGUUCAAAGCUAAGGUUUAAAAUGCAACAACAAGAUGAUACAACUCAAUCCGAUCAGACCCAAUUCUCCGCUAGGGGUGAAUUUCCUAAUGCAAUUUCCUUUAUAAUCAUAUCUCGUUCAUUUUUCACAUUCUUUCAUCUUUUCACAUUUCACUCUCUUUUCUGGGGUCAAGUUAUUUUUGCUCUUAAUAGAUAGGCCAUAUUUCACGAGAUUGACAUUUUUGGAGGUGGUCCAAAACAUUCUCGUGUGGUUUCCCAUGCUCAUAACGAUACUAUUAGAGGAGCAGAGACCCAGAGCUAUCAAGUACUCAACAACCAACCAAACAUUUCAACACAGAGAAAGAUAUUAGGAAAUUGCAAUGAAAACACUCCCCCUAGCAUCUACCGGACAAAUCACGUCAAGAGUUGCUCAUCAGGGUGUUGCAUCCAAACAUUAAACUAAUUACACCACACUGGGAACAUAUCUAUCACAAGAGACAAGGACAACAAUCAACACAAAUCACAAACCAGAAUCGCUAGUGAACCACCAUCAACAUGCGAUGUGUACUUUAAAACAAACAUGAAAUCAAGACAAGGGGACCAUUCGCCCCACACAAGAAAGCCCAAGAACACAACAAAAAGACACCCACAGGAUUCACAACUACCAACAAACACCCCCCCCACACUUAAAAUCUGGCACUGUCCUCAGUGCAAACAAAAAGAGAGGUGAAAGAGGAAACUUCCCUAAAUACCGAUCCAGUGGUGAGUCUGUAGUGUCCCACGAUGUCUGCCUCUCUCUCAUCCAUAGAACAAGCAGUCUCCAACGCAACAACCUGCACCAAACAGCAGAAGCAACAAAACACAACACAAACAAAACGAAAGAAAAACGAAACAAGAAAAAGCAAGAAAACAUGGGUUGCC
rnacentral:lncRNA from 1 species